rnacentral:lncRNA from 1 species
UUUUUUUUUUAGAGAAAGGUAACAUCACACACACAAAAGUAGAUGAUAAGAAUUUAAGAUCUCUGGACGUGUGCCUGUACUAACCUACUUGAGAGGUCCCCAACAGUGACAAAUUCUACAGACAAUGAAACGGAAGAAAAG